UACGGGGGGGGGCAAGCGUUGUUCGGAAUUACUGGGCGUAAAGGGCUCGUAGGCGGCCAACUCAGUCGGACGUGAAAUCCCUCGGCUUAACCGGGGAACUGCUUCCGAUACUGGAUGGCUUGAGUGUGGGAGAGGGAUGCGGAAUUCCAGGUGUAGCGGUGAAAUGCGUAGAUAUCUGGAGGAACACCGGUGGCGAAGGCGGCAUCCUGGACUACUACUGACGCUGAGGAGCGAAAGCCAGGGGAGCAAACGGG
rnacentral:rRNA from 1 species